AUUGAACGCUGGCGGCAUGCCUAACACAUGCAAGUCGAACGGCAGCACGGACUAGUUUACUAGUUUGGUGGCGAGUGGCGGACGGGUGAGUAACGCGUAGGAAUAUGCCCUAUAGAGUGGGAUAGCUUGGGGAAACUCAGGGUAAUACCGCAUAUAAUCUUAGGAUGAAAGGCUGGGGACCGCGAGGCCUGGCGCUAUAGGAGUAGCCUGCGUCUGAUUAGCUAGUUGGUGUGGUAAGGGCGGACCAAGGCGAGGAUCGGUAGCUGGUCUGCGAGGAUGAACAGCCACACUGGGACGGAAACACGGCCCAGACUCCUACGGGAGGCAGCAGUGGGGGAUAUUGGACAAUGGGGGCAACCCUGAUCCAGCGAUGCCGCGUGUGUGAAGAAGGCCUGCGGGUUGUAAAGCACUUUCAGUGGGGAGGAGGGUACGCGAGUUAAAAGCUAGAGGUACUGGACGUUACCCACAGAAGAAGCACCGGCAAACUCCGUGCCAGCAGCCGCGGUAA
rnacentral:rRNA from 1 species